GAAGGACGGCGAGAGGGAGGGACCAAAAGCCGCGAGGCAACGCAGGCGGCCGCGAGGACCCGCGCGUCGCCGGAGCACUGAGCGAGGGUGGCGGCGGGGUCGCCGGCUGAAGACUCUCUGCCCCUGAGGCCUGAUCGGGCGGUCGCGCCCUCCCUGGCGGCCUUCGCGCCCCCGGCGGGGCCGGUGCCCGGGCCUUCGGCUGGGGGCCUGCUGGCCCUCCGUCGGCGACCCUAGGCGUCCGUCGGUCCGUCGGUCCGUGCAUCCGGCGAGCUCGGCCUGCCCCGCGGGGAAGGGCGGCCGGGCCUGAGCCUCCCUCCCCGGACUCGGGAGCCGCCGCUGCAGCAGUAGCAAGCUAACUGGAACUUUGAAGAGAGUGAAAUAAUGAAAGUGCAAAUCUGUGCAAGAGAGAUUGCGGUGGAGAGACUGAGGAGGAAGCGUGGUUUAUUGACAAUCACUUAACGUGCUGAAGAGUGCUGGUGAGCCAGCACAGUAGCUAAUGCAGCAAAGAAGAACAGACGCAGAUUUGAGGAAUUCAGCUUGCUUAAACCUUGAACUGAAGUCCUAGAGAUUGGGACAUCUGAGUUUGUAUAUGUGGACUUUCAACUCUAUUUGCAGUGGGUUAUUGUAGGAGAAUGCCACCUGCUUAAGCUCACUUGGACAAGAUGGAAGAAGAACUGGAAUGUCCAAACUCUUCCUCUGAAAAACGCUAUUUCCCUGAAUCCCUCGAUUCCAGUGAGGGGGAUGAGGAGGGGAUUUUGGCCUGUGAGGAUCUGGAACUUAACCCUUUUGAUGGAUUGCCAUAUUCAUCACGUUAUUAUAAACUUCUGAAAGAAAGAGAAGAUCUUCCAAUAUGGAAGGAAAAAUACUCCUUUAUGGAGAAUCUGCUUCAAAGUCAAAUUGUGAUCGUUUCAGGAGAUGCGAAGUGUGGCAAGAGCUCUCAGGUUCCUCAGUGGUGUGCUGAAUAUUGCCUUUCCAUCCACUACCAGCACGGGGGCGUGGUGUGCACACAGGUCCACAAGCAGACUGCGGUCCAGCUCGCCCUCCGGGUGGCAGACGAAAUGGAUGUUAACAUCGGUCAUGAAGUCGGCUACGUGAUUCCUUUUGAGAACUGCUGCACCAGUGAAACGAUCUUGAGGUAUUGUACUGAUGAUAUGUUACAGAGAGAAAUGAUGUCCAGUCCUUUUCUGGGUAGCUAUGGGGUCAUCAUCUUAGAUGAUAUUCAUGAAAGAAGCAUUGCAACUGAUGUGUUACUUGGACUUCUUAAAGAUGUUUUACUGGCAAGACCGGAACUGAAGCUCAUAAUUAACUCCUCACCUCACCUGAUCAGCAAACUCAGUUCUUAUUAUGGAAAUGUGCCUCUCAUAGAAGUGAAAAAUAAGCACCCAGUGGAGGUUGUGUACCUUAGUGGGGCUCAAAAGGAGUCUUUUGAGUCUAUUUUACGCCUUAUCUUUGAAAUUCACCACUCCGGUGAGAAGGGUGACAUUGUAGUCUUUCUGGCCUGUGAACAAGAUAUUGAAAAAGCCUAUGAAAUUAUCUGUCAAGAAGGAUCUAACUUAAACCCAGAUCUUGGAGAGCUGAUAGUUGUUCCUUUGUAUCCAAAAGAGAAAUGUGCGUUGUUCAAGCCAAAUGAUGAAACAGAAAAAAGAUGCCAAGUUUAUCAGAGACGAGUGGUGUUAACGGCUAGCUCCGGAGAAGCUUUGAUCUGUAGCAACACAGUCAAAUUUGUUAUUGAUGUCGGGGUGGAGAGAAGAAAGGUGUACAACCCUAGAAUAAGAGCAAACUCACUCGUCAUGCAGCCCAUCAGCCAGAGCCAAGCAGAGAUACGCAAGCAGAUUCUCGGUUCAUCUUCUUCAGGAAAACUUUUCUGUCUGUACUCUGAAGAAUUUGCCUCCGAAGACAUGCGGCCACUUAAGCCGGCGGAAAUGCAGGAAGCCAACCUAACCAGCAUGGUGCUUUUUAUGAAGAGAAUCGACAUCGCGGGCUUAGGCCACUGUGACUUCGUGAACAGACCAGCACCGGAAAGUUUGAUGCAGGCUUUGGAAGACUUAGAUUAUCUGGCAGCACUGGACAAUGAUGGAAAUCUUUCCGAAUUUGGAAUCAUCAUGUCAGAGUUUCCUCUUGAUCCACAACUCUCCAAGUCUAUCUUAGCAUCCUGUGAAUUUGACUGUGUAGAUGAAAUGCUAACAAUCGCUGCCAUGGUAACAGCUCCUAAUUGCUUUUCGCAUCUGCCCCGGGGAGCAGAGGAGGCCGCCUUGUCUUGUUGGAAGAAGUUCUUACAUCCUGAAGGAGAUCACUUCACCCUCAUCAACAUUUACAAGGCCUACCAGGACAUGGCUCUGAAUUCCACCAGCGAACCCCCCUUGGUCAUUUGAGUGGGAUGGCGCUUGAGGCCCUCAGGCACCCACAGGUGAGCAGUAGAGACACGCCUCCUGCUUCCACAGAGGGCGGCCCUGCAUCCACGGACCCGGCACCCAGCCCGGCAGCCUUCAGAGCGAGCUCGCUGGGGACACAGGGACGGGGGACACAGACUUGCACAGCGCGGCUCCUGUCCUCUCGGGUCCAGGGAGAAAGGAAAGGAACUGCCAUCUCUAGGUGCCCACCGGCCAGAGCUGUGCUUUGUGCCUUUCAUAACGUGGCAUGCUCACUACUGGAUGGAGAGAGAAUAUGGAGCAUUCAAAACAAAACAAACAAAACCCCCAGUUCCAGGUAAUAGUAACGAAUAGGCUGAUGAGCUGAGGGAGGCUGGAGCCUGGCCGAGGAGAGGGGCGGGGAGGGCGUGCAGGGGAGUAGAAUGGCCUGGUGCAGAGCUGCGGCAGAAGUCCUGGGUACGUCUAAACCACGGUGGGUAUGUUCCCGUUCCCAGUGGUGAGGGAACGGAAAACUCCUGCACGUGAAACUCCUGUGCUGGGCCUUAAAGACAGGAAGGGGGUCUCCAGGGGCAGAUGGGGCAAAGCAGUGAGGCGGACACAGCCGGAGGGGAGCUCCCUUCCUACCAGGAGGAUUGUUCUCACCUUUGUUCUCCACGAUGCUGCUUUUACCUCCUUUGCUCCAGCAGAUGGUGUGAAAAAUGUUUAAAGUGAAGAGAAAAGUAUGACAGCAGUCAGAGUGGCAGAGCAGGGAGUUAGUUUUUCAAAGCUGAGCAGAAAAAGUUGUCAGUGGAGCCAGAAAGUACAUGAGAGCCUUGGCAUCUUUGGAGGGCAAGCCGGUGGCGGUCGUCGUUGGAGCAAGUGCACGCACUCCUGUGGCUCCAGACGGGCCUGAGUGAGUGGACGGGAAGGACCGACGGAGGUCUGCGGCCCGCUGCGCCGAGGCCACGUGUGCUCCCAGGCCACGGCAAAACUCUGGGUCCAGCUAAUCACAGACGGCAAGAAAGAAUAACUUCACACUGAUCCAGGGGACUGAAUUUCGAUACAGAAUUUGCAGCUAGGACUGUGUUGAAAAGUGGUGUCACGAUCGCUUCCUCAACUGCUCUGCACUCAGGAUGGCAGAUGUUAUCCGAGCCGAAC